UCAGCAGCCGCGGUAAUACGGAGGGUCCAAGCGUUGUCCGGAUUUAUUGGGUUUAAAGGGUACGUAGGCGGGAUUUUAAGUCAGUGGUGAAAGCCUCCAGCUCAACUGGAGAACUGCCAUUGAAACUGAAAUUCUUGAAUAUGGAUGAGGUGGUUGGAAUAUAACAUGUAGCGGUGAAAUGCUUAGAUAUGUUAUAGAACACCAAUUGCGAAGGCAGAUCACUAAACCAUUAUUGACGCUGAGGUACGAAAGCGUGGGGAGCGAACAGGAUUAGAUACCCUGGUAGUCCACGCCGUAAACGAUGUUCACUCGCUGUUGGCGAUAUACUGUCAGCGGCCAAGCGAAAGCAUUAAGUGAACCACCUGGGGAGUACGAUCGCAAGGUUGAAACUCAAAGGAUUGACGGA
rnacentral:rRNA from 1 species